rnacentral:rRNA from 1 species
GACGAACGCUGGCGGCGUGCCUAAUACAUGCAAGUCGAACGCAGUGGGGACGGGUGAGUAACACGUGGGUAACCUCCCAUCAGAGGGGAUAACACUUGGAAACAGGUGCUAAACCGAUACUGAUGGAUGGACCAGCGGUGCAUUAGCUAGUUGGUGAGGUAACGGCCAACCAAGGCCACGAUGCAUAGCGGACCUGAGAGGGCGAUCGGCAACACUAGGACUACGACACGGCCCAGACUCCUACUGGACGCAGCAGUCGGAAAUGUUGGCCAAUGGUCGAGAGUCUGACCGAGCAACGACGCGUGAGUGAAGAGGGUUUUCGGAUCGUAAAACUCUGUUGUUCGGGAAGCGUUAUCUAACCAAUAAGCAACGGCUAACUACGUGCCAGCAGCCGCGGUAAUAC